rnacentral:tRNA from 1 species
GGGCGGGUUCCAGAGCGGUCAAAUGGGGCAGACUGUAAAUCUGCUGGCGUUAUGCCUUCGGAGGUUCGAAUCCUUCCCCGCCCAC